rnacentral:lncRNA from 1 species
CUUGAGAUUAAAUUUCAUCCAUUGGAUCACGUAAAAGAGCCCUUCUUUUGUUUAGUUCUCAGCUGGCAUCAAUCGUGGCCAUUGGAUUUUGCUUGAAAUUGAUUUUCGAUCAUUGAUCAGCGCAUAAUGCCUUCCACCCCUAUGGACCGCGACUGUGGACCGACGAUCAUAUUCUGUGGAUCGUGACUGGAAUCUGUGGAUCGAUCGAUUGGUCUGCCA